GAAAAAUGACAUUGUUCAUCCUAGAUGUUGCGGCUGGUCGUCUGUUAUUGUUCAUCGUUCUUUUCUAUACCUUCCAGCACAUCAAAGCCAAAGAUCCGGUCCUAUCCAGUUUACAGAAACCAAUGAUGAGUGUCAGUCAUAAUGAGAAGGAUGUUAUCAUCACCUGUGAGAUUCCUCGACCUGCUGGUAAUGACACCACCUGUAAUCUGUAUGUUGGAGACCAGAGUCAACAUCUCCUGAAGACAAAGAUCUGGAAGAAAACAUCAUCCAGGUCCAAGACAUCAUUCUGUCUGUUCACUGUGACUGAAGAUGACCUGAUCAGACAUCUACAGUCAGUAGGGAGUCAGGAGGUGAGCUGUGACUACAGAGUGAGUUCAGGACCAAACUCUCUCUCUCCACGUAGUGACGGGUACAUUAUAACAAAUUUGCUAGCUAGUGCUGCUUUGAUCCCCAAAACCCCACUGAGGCCAACUACCAGUUCAACCUCUUAUUUGACCCCCACAGCAACUACAUCAGGUUGGACUGUUAGUGCUACUUUGACAAGUGACACCCCAAAGAGAACAAGUGAAGGUAAGUAUGGCUACUAGAUUUAGUUGUAAGUUUAGUUGUGUUGACCUUUUGAUGAAACACUUUUCUUUGGUUUUUGGCUUGGGAUGUAAGGGAAGUGAUGGCAAUCUGUCACUUUAAAAUGCAUAACCAGAAGUAACCACAACCAUCUACUAUAUAUGAAGGUUAACAUAAGACUUACCUAACAUUCUCACUUCCAAAGAAAUUUUUUCUUU
ensembl:lncRNA